UGCAGGGGAGAAACCUUCAGGUCAACAUGAAUUUAUUACUAAACCUGAUGCUGCAGUUUCUAACUGCUCUGUGCUGUGCUGCAGAUCCCACAGUGCUGAAUAUCAGACAGAAAAGAGGCACACGCACAUAUAGGGACGCUUGUGUGGACGCUAAUUCGGCUGCGGUCAGAGACACUGGGGCGACGUGGCUGCGAUGGAAGGGUCAGAAAGUUGAAUUCUG